UAUACACUGAUUAUAAAGAUUUAAUGUUUCUGAUUAGCAAUACUACUGUUGACAGCCAUUGCCAAUUAUCCUACUCAUGUACUAGAUCUGGCUCUAUUGAUCACUACUCAUAUCUUGCCUAGAUAUAAACAACUGUACUAGUUUGGACUAGACAUUCUAAUUGGUUCUAUUUUCUUUUUUUGAUUAUUCUCACAAUUCCAGUAGGCUAAGUAGUUACCAAAUUGUGCUAUUAUUCACUGUAGAUCUAAAUCUUAACUUUUGAGUACCAAAGAAGUACACAAAGGAUGUUGAAUGGUACUAAAAGUGCUCUAAUUGCUACCAUUCAAUGUGUGGAUUCAAGUACUUACCCAGAUACGGCCACAUUAUGUUCUUAUUGUUUUCAAAGGAGUUUUCACACAGUGCCAGAAGCUGUAUAAAUACAUUUAACAAUGUAUAUUUCAAGAAGAAAUUAUUCUUUCUUAUCCCUAGGAGUUUAUCAAUAAGAUGGAUGCCACAAAACUCACUUGCUAUGUCAGAAACUCUUCCUAUGAAACUUCCAUCCUAGAAUUUGUCCAAUGCCUGUGAUCCUCUGAGUUGAAUGAGAAUGUGCUCCAUAAUAUCUACCAGUACCUUGCUGAUAGCUGGAAGUUCAUGAAUAUUAUGUUGUCCUUGAUUUGAUGAUUUUGAAAACUACUAUUUUUGAAGAAUUGAGCAUUAUUUCUAUAAUUAAAAAAAAUAUCUUCAGGAAAUAUUGUGUUUAUAAUAUUAAGAAAUUUGAAGAUAUUAUUGUUCUUAGUAAUACCGGUAUUAAUAU